UACGUAGGGGGCAAGCGUUGUCCGGAUUUAUUGGGCGUAAAGAGCGUGUAGGCGGCCAUACAGGUCCGUUGUGAAAACUGGAGGCUUAACCUCCAGACGUCGAUGGAAACCGUAUGGCUAGAGUCCGGAAGAGGAGAGUGGAAUUCCUGGUGUAGCGGCGAAAUGCGCAGAUAUCAGGAAGAACACCCGUGGCGAAGGCGGCUCUCUGGGACGGUACUGACGCUGAGACGCGAAAGCGUGGGGAGCGAACAGG
rnacentral:rRNA from 1 species